AUUGAACGCUGGCGGCAGGCUUAACACAUGCAAGUCGAGCGAGCGGCGGACGGGUGAGUAAUGUCUGGGAAACUGCCUGAUGGAGGGGGAUAACUACUGGAAACGGUAGCUAAUACCGCAUACCAUCGGAUGUGCCCAGAUGGGAUUAGCUAGUAGGGGGGGUAAAGGCUCACCUAGGCGACGAACCCUAGCUGGUCUGAGAGGAUGACCAGCCAUACGGGAACGGUGAAACGGUCCAGACUCCUACGGGAGGUAGCAGUGGGGAAUAUUGCACAAUGGGCGCAAGCCUGAAUCAGCCAUGCCGCGGGUAUGAAGAAGGCUGUCGGGUUGUAAAGUACUUUCAGCGGGGAGGCGUGACCCGCAGAAGAAGCACCGGCUAACUCCGUGCCAGCAGCCGCGGUAAUUC
rnacentral:rRNA from 1 species